ACACGUGGAGCUGGGCGUGAAGGAGUCCAGGCUGCAGCCGAGGGAGCCGAGUAGGGCAAAGUUCGGAGUCGCUGUUUGGAUGGCAAGUUCAGAAGCUGGAACUUGUCUCAGUUUCCCCGCUCCAGAAAUGGGGUUGUGAUCUAAAGACAGGGAUACGAGUGAAGAAAACAGAGCCACCCUGGAAAGGCACCCUCUCACGCACACUCAGGUGGUCUACGAGGACUCACAGUCGUGUGCAACCUGGAAGCAAAGAGUGAGUGGGGAGAUCUGAGAAUCGAUACUGAACAGCUUCAGUACUACGAUGCCAUAAUGGGGCUGUGAGCUCAGCCGAAAGCCCCCCGCCCAGUUUUUUUUGGAAGUGGUCAUAGAAUCUCUCUGGAGAAACAACAUGGAAAUGGAGACCAAAAGAGGGAAGGAGGGAUGCCACCAGAUGACACUGGGAUCCCGGAAGACGGAACACUGUGUGCAACGGGCAAAGAACUUUUCAAAAGGGAUUUCAACCUCUGACCACCUGGAGACAGGCGACUGGUGCUCAUUGUAAAUGCACUGACAUGACAGGGAACAGCUGCUGGGGAGGUGGAGAUGGUGCGGGGAGAGACAGGAAGCCCCAGAGGCUUGGAAAUCCAGGAGCCACAGGAAGCAGUGAGCUUUCUGCGGAGCCAGAUCCGGUGAAGCUAAUUCACCAGCAGGUCCGGCAGUGACUCUUCUACAACAGAUUCCUGCCCGUCCCUGUGCCCCAUCGCCCCC
rnacentral:antisense_RNA from 1 species